AUCAGUACUGCGUCGACUGCUAUGUGCUAAAGACUGCGGAAUAAGAGCUCUUAGUCCUUUCGGCACGGCAUAAAAUAAAGGCUGUUCUUGUUGCGGGUUUAUCAGAGCUUGAGAAUCUAGCUAGGGCUAUUUGAACUAAUAAGGAAAAGUAGGCAUGCUAAGUACAUUUUGAUGGCAUUGAAUCGGAAGAUAGCCUAUCUAAGAGAAGAUGAAAUAGCAAGUGCUUGAG
rnacentral:lncRNA from 1 species